rnacentral:lncRNA from 1 species
UGUUCUUGUAUUCGCCUCGCCAUCACUUUCAGUUGCCACCACACAUUUGUUUUCCCUGUAAUCUGCAGCAGAGGAAUUCAUAAGAGCCUUGGUGGUUAGAGAGGUGAGUUGUGAGGGCCACCAAAUUUUCAUAUUCCACAAAUACAAAUUAUUUGUAUUCAGCUAACCUUACAGGAAGAUGGGUCGAGUGGACAUCAAAGAUCGUGUUACCAUAGCACAAUUUAAUAAACUCUGACAAAGCAUAGAAGAAAAGCAAGAGAGGUUGACACAAGAUCUUCAGAAUCUUAUGACUGAAAUCAGAAGGCAUCGUCCACCUCAUCAUGGUGCAAGCAACCAUAGUGGAGAUAGAGAAGAUAGUAAUGGAAGAAGAGAAGGUCGG